rnacentral:misc_RNA from 1 species
CUUGAAACAGUAUUGAGUUUAUCUUAUAACGUACAUAAAGUCUGUAAAGUACACUGAGAGUUUCGAUGAUCGCGGUUCAACGAAUGUUUCUCUUCAUCAUAGAAUAUCUGUACGAAAAUUGGGCAGAUGCAAAAUAUAUACAUAAUUCAUAUAGGACAUGUCUAUAUAUCAUGGGUACCAGGCACACAGGCAGAAGUUUGACAGCACGCUCAGCGGAAAGACCAGAAUCUGGACAACUCAUUAUCAAGAGCAUCGAUGUACCAGCUAUUGUAAAGGUCAGCGAGACUGAUUCCAUUAUUCUCGAUUGCGAUUAUGAUCUUGAAAAUACAUCCAGUCAGGGCCUCGUCGUCAAAUGGUAUUUCAACACUGACCAAUUGGUUUACCAAUGGAUCUAUGGCAGGUACCCUCUAGCGGAUGAACCAGCUGUAAAAUACAUUGAUUUAGCGUACAAAACCAGCGAUGAUCCCUAUACUGGAUAUCGAGCCAUGAAGUUGAAUAAGCCAGGUGUCGACCUUACUGGCGAAUACACAUGCGUUAUAUCUACUUUUGCAGAUGAACGAACGGCGAACGCGUCAAUGAUAGUGUACUCUACAGAAGAAAAAUUUGACCUUAUAUACAGAAAAAAGACUAUAGAUGAUAAAGAUGGAGUUGAAAUAACGUGCAUGGCCGAAGGACUUUAUCCUCAACCGAUUCUAAACAUCUCCGUCGAAGGUAAUUUGGCGAAGCAAAUGGGAAACCCCAUCAUAACUCAACGUGAUGAUAGACUAUACAAUAUUUUAUCUCGCAUCACCUUAUUAGACGAAAAUUUACCAGAAACAACAAUUAUCAAAUGUUUGCUCAGUAUACCAAAGGCGAUCUACAACGUUUCUCGUAAAACUGUUUAUUACGCUGGAACAUUUACCACAUCAACUACUACAACGAAGCUGCACCGUAAAAUGGAGGUCCUGACCUUUGAUAAGUCACAAUCUGGUAAUAGUGCUGAUGGCUCUAUCGGAUAUACGUCAAUUAAUCUUUUAUUGUUAUCGAUAAAGUUAGCUGUUUUCAAUGUAUUUCAUCGAUAACUUAAUAGCUCAAUUAAUAUUGAUGUUUGCUGGUCAGUUCAUUGCAAGAAAAAGUAAAAAAGUAAAGGGAUAUUUUCAAUUGAUUUGGGAAUACAAAAUGUCUCUUUACUUUUUGAUUUUGAAGAAAAUAGAGAAUAGUAUAUGUGAGCACUGUGUUAGGACGAUGGUGCUCGAUUUCAGCCAGUUGUACAGCCUUAUUAUAGUAUUAUAUGCCGUAUCCUGAUCAAGAAACGAAUGCAGAAUAUAUGAAGAAGAUUGUUGGCUUUUUACAUUAAACAAUACAUUAUGCAAAUUCCAUAAUUGUUCGAAAGAUGAAAAGAUCACUGUAUCUUCUCUUUAUUGUUUAUUGUCACACACACACACACACACA